rnacentral:ncRNA from 1 species
GUGCUAACUGCUCGCUCAUCAGAUACCACAAAGGGUGUUGGUCGAUCUUAACAGCAGGACGGUGGUCAUGGAAGUCGAAAUCCGCUAAGGAGUGUGUAACAACUCACCUGCCGAAUCGACUAGCCCCGAAAAUGGAUAGCGCUGAAGCGAGUGACCGAUACCGGGCCAUUGUUGCAAGAUAAUUGGCAACAAUGAGUAGGAGGGCGUGGGGGUUGUGAAGAAGCUUGGACGUGAGUCUGAGUGAAACAGCUUCCAGUGCAGAUCUUGGUGGUAGUAGCAAGUAUUCAAUAAGAGAACAUUGAAGGCCGAAGUGGGGAAGGGUUCCAUGUGAACAGCACUUGGACAUGGGUUAGCCGAUCAAAAAUACAUCAAAAAGUAAUUCUAGAGCUAAUACAUGCGUCAAGGCCCGACUUCGGAAGGGCUGCGUUUAUUAGAUACAGAACCAACCUAGGCUCCGCCUAGUCCUUGUUGGUGAUUCAUAAUAACCCGGCGAAUCGCACGGCUUGUCCGGCGAUGGACCAUUCAAGUUUCUGACCUAUCAGCUAUGGACGGUAGGGUAUUGGCCUACCGUGGCGUUGACGGGUAACGGGGAAUUAGGGUUCGAUUCCGGAGAGGGAGCCUGAGAAACGGCUACCACAUCUAAGGAAGGCAGCAGGCGCGCAAAUUACCCAAUCCUGAUACAGGGAGGUAGUGACAAGAAAUAACAAUACAGGGCAAUUCUGUCUUGUAAUUGGAAUGAGUAGAUUUUAAAUCUCUUUACGAGUAUCAAUUGGAGGGCAAGUCUGGUGCCAGCAGCCGCGGUAAUUCCAGCUCCAAUAGCGUAUAUUAAAGUUGUUGCGGUUAAAAAGCUCGUAGUUGGAUUUCUGCCUUGGGCGACCGAUCCACCUUUCCUACGGGAUUGGUCGGUAUCAGGUUUGACCUUGGCUUUUUCUUGGGAUUCGUGCUCACGUACUUAACUGUGCGUUGACCGUGUUCCAAGACUUUUACUUUGAGGAAAUUAGAGUUUUCAAGCAGGCUUA